CUUGGAGGUUGUGCCCUUGAGGCGUGGCUUCCGGAGCUAACGCGUUAAGUAGACCGCCUGGGGAGUACGGCCGCAAGGUUAAAACUCAAAUGAAUUGACGGGGGCCCGCACAAGCGGUGGAGCAUGUGGUUUAAUUCGAUGCAACGCGAAGAACCUUACCUGGUCUUGACAUCCACAGAACUUUCCAGAGAUGGAUUGGUGCCUUCGGGAACUGUGAGACAGGUGCUGCAUGGCUGUCGUCAGCUCGUGUUGUGAAAUGUUGGGUUAAGUCCCGCAACGAGCGCAACCCUUAUCCUUUGUUGCCAGCGGUCCGGCCGGGAACUCAAAGGAGACUGCCAGUGAUAAACUGGAGGAAGGUGGGGAUGACGUCAAGUCAUCAUGGCCCUUAC
rnacentral:rRNA from 2 species